CCUACGGGAGGCAGCAGUAGGGAAUCUUCCACAAUGGGCGCAAGUCUGAUGGAGCAACGCCGCGUGAGUGAAGAAGGUCUUCGGAUCGUAAAACUCUGUUGUUAGAGAAGAACACGAGUGAGAGUAACUGUUCAUUCGAUGACGGUAUCUAACCAGCAAGUCACGGCUAACUACGUGCCAGCAGCCGCGGUAAU
rnacentral:rRNA from 1 species